AAGGUGGGGAGGGUCGAUCCCUAGGGGACACUUGGUAAUCUUCAUUUCAAGUUUAACCAGACGUCAUACAGUUUUUUACGCUAGCAACACUCAUUAAUUCGUUCCUAACUUCACGUUCUGUCAUGGCGCCGUUUGGAACAAGUCAGUGGUUUGCAAGUGGCGGACUAUGAAAAAUUUGCUGCGUGCUGUAUUUAAUUUUCGGAAAUCAUGCGUCGAAAAUAUACGACCAGAGAAGGUUAAAAACAAAGAAUACUGAUAGAUAAGGAAAGAUUAAAAAAUGCUGUAUCAGAAGUAUUAGCUGGUAUUACCAUUAAAGUGUUUAAAGCCAAA